UACGGAGAGUGCAAACGUUGUUCGGAUUCACUGGGCGUAAAGGGCACGUAGGCGGCUCGGCAAAUCGGUCGUGGAAUCUCGACGCUUACCGUCGAAACGGCGGCCGAAAAUACCGGGCUCGAGGGCGUGAGGGGUCACUGGAACUCCUGGUGAAGCGGUAAAAUGCGUAGAUAUCAGGAGGAACGCCGGAGGCGAAAGCGAGUGACUGGCGCGUUCCGUGACGCUGAGGUGCGAAAGCUAGGGGAGCAAACAGGG
rnacentral:rRNA from 1 species